GUAGGUGGCAAGCGUUGUCCGGAAUUAUUGGGCGUAAAGCGCGCGCAGGCGGUUCUUUAAGUCUGAUGUGAAAGCCCACGGCUCAACCGUGGAGGGUCAUUGGAAACUGGAGAACUUGAGUACAGAAGAGGAAAGCGGAAUUCCACGUUUAGCGGUGAAAUGCGUAGAGAUGUGGAGGAACACCAGUGGCGAAGGCGGCUUUCUGGUCUGUAACUGACGCUGAGGCGCGAAAGCGUGGGGAGCAAACAGGGAUUAGAUACCCUGGUAGUCCACGCCGUAAACGAUGAGUGCUAAGUGUUAGGGGGUUUCCCGCCCCUUAGUGCUGCAGCUAACGCAUUAAGCACUCCGCCUGGGGAGUACGGCCGCAAGGCUG
rnacentral:rRNA from 1 species